AAUUACUUUAAACUGACUGAAUUCUGUAGGCAAACACAAAGACACCGGAUUCUUAAUGUCGUCGCUUUGGUCCAAUUGCAUAAACAUGUGAUGAUCAGCUUCAGAGAAGUCAAAAGGAAAGUAGGAAAACCUCAGCACAACAUAUGCAACAUAACAUCUCAAGUAAACCUAUAGAAGUGACAUUUGAGAAACUUAAAAAAAAAGGAACAAGCUCAUCAGGGGCUUGGGAGCAUUGAUGUGAGGUCUUGACCUUCAGGGAAAUUCUCCGUGUCCUAGAAGUACCUAAAUGGAUGAAUAGAAAGUCACAAUAAGACAGAAGGCGACUAAAAUGUCACACCAAAGCAUGCUAAGAGCCAGUUCUUUUGGGCAAUUCUCCGAGAAUUGACCCCCUCCCCAGCUUCUCCCAGAAUUGCCACUCUAUAUUUUCUUACAAUUCCUAGCUAACUAGAUCUUAACUAGCUAGGAAUUGUAAAAAAAGAUGAAGUGGCAAUUCUAGGAGAAGCUGUGGAGGGGGUCAAUUCUCGGAGAAUUGCCCAAAAGAACUGGCCCUAAGUUGUUGUCCACCAGGUCUUUCACAGAUUGUUAUGUAUUAUAUUUCCUUCCCAUUAGUGUAUAAGGUUGUGCACGAAGGUCACCAAGGUAAGAACAUGCAGAAAUUAAAUCGAAGUUGGUCAGAUACGCAAAUAGCAUCCUAUAUUAGUAAACAGAGGUGCAUACUUCCAUUUAUCAGUAGAUUUCAACUUAUGUUUAUUUUUGUAUAAAGAAUAAUAAAUGUAUAUGUCUAGUAAAAAAACUAUAAAAUCAUGUACUACAUCAGUAAAAUCGAUACGAUCCAACGUAGCACAUGUUGUGAUAAUAUGCACAGCCGGUCGACAUAGAACCUAACUUGUGCUACAUCAUUUAGAUUAAAAAGGACGGGGAAGCUACUACAACUUCCUGUACUGGUCAUCUAAUACAAAUAAACAAUGCAAGAAAAGCCUCUUUUACUUAGACCAUACAUAACAACGAGAGAUGGGAUGGUGACCAUGUAAAAUAAAUUACCGGCAGUGGAGAUCAGCGACAAUCGUGACUCGUCACCAUAAAAGCCAUAAGCCCUCCCACACUCAUCAUACAUAAAUACACAAGAACAUAAGAAAAUAUAUUUUUUAGGAAAAAUGUUCAAAAAUACACAUUUUUUGCUUGUGAUGAUAUACAUGCAGCAGUUAAUGUAUUAUCCAUAAAACAAAGAAUGUAUGCCUCAUAUUAAUCAUCCUUUCACACAUAACUUAACAUGCAGCAAAAGGAUUUAAUCUAUAGUUCAAGAUCAAAAUGAAUGAGUCAUUUACAGUUAGGCAAUUAUUGAUUAUAAUGGAGUGUGAAGACAUCAUAUAUUUACUUGAUGGAAAUUGCAGUCAAGAAAAGCAUAGAAUGAGUCAAGUACCUUCUGGUUUGCCCAAUUUGCUUGUGGUCAUCAAAGGUGUUCUCGAGAUCAAACAACCAAGUAUGAACUCCCAAACUUCUGACCAAAUAGCAGGGUGUACACCUUAAACCACAGAGAAUAGAGAGCCGGCCCGUGUUAGAGAUUUAUAUGAGAGGUAGGCAAAAAAGUAAUGGUCUUAAAAUAAAAUGAGGGAUGUCUCAGAUAUCUUUACCCUUGUCAGAAUCCAGUUUAGAACAUAGGGAAUAUUUAGGGAGCCUUGUUGCAGAAAUAUAGCAUGCCAUUUUCAAUCACCCAAUGUUUUUCAAGCUGAAACUGAACGGAUUGGCACUAUUGAUUUAUCACACUUCUCAGAGAUCAGAAUCCUUCCCAUGGCGCCUCAUUCCGACUGUACACAUACCCAUGCCAAAUUAAUCACAUUUGUAGAACGGUG
rnacentral:lncRNA from 1 species